CGCUGUUGGCUCUUCCUGAGCAUUUUCAUUCAUGAGACACAGCGCAGUUCAACUUUUAAAUCAAGUCAGCUCAUACAAUUUCAUGGUGGUCAAAUAGGAGAGAGACUUCUACAGCAUGGAGGAUUACGGGUGGCCUUGAAUAGAUACUUAGAGACCAACUUCAGUCAAGCCAGAGUGGGAAAGCGUCUUUUCAAAGAGACAGGCGAGAUUAAAGUAUAUUUCCUGAAUGACAAAGUUUGUGUGAUAGUGGCAAUUACUCUUCAGCCUAAGGGCUGGUUUGAAUUUAACUUCUGUUUUUGUUAUACGGAACUACAGUGCUCUGUGGGAUGAAAUACAGAGAAUUCUGAUUUCUCCUAGGCUGAAAUCUCU
rnacentral:lncRNA from 1 species